rnacentral:rRNA from 1 species
GAUGAACGCUGGCGGCGUGCCUAAUACAUGCAAGUCGAGCGAACAGACGAGGAUCUUGCUCCUCUGACGUUAGCGACGGACGGGUGAGUAACACGUAGAUAACCUACCUAUAAGACUGGGAUAACUUCGGCAAACCGGAGCUAAUACCGGAUAAUAUAUUUAACCGCAUGGUUCAGUAGUGAUAGACGGUUUUGCUGUCACUUAUAGAUGGAUCCGCGCCGCAUUAGCUAGUUGGUAAGGUAACGGCUUACCAAGGGAACGAUGCGUAGCCGAGCUGAGAGGGUGAGCGGGCCCGCGGGAGUUAAGAGCCGGUCCAGGACUGUACGGGAGGCAGGACUACGGCAGCAGCCGGAAGGGGCGAAUGCUUGACGGAGCGACGACGCGUGAGUCAUGAAGGUCUUGGGCUCGUAAACCGCUUUUAUGAUGUAAGAAGAAAUGUGUAAGUACCUAUGCUCGUCUUACGGGUACCGAAUCAGAAAGCCACGCUUACUUCCGU